rnacentral:ncRNA from 1 species
AAUUUAUAUAGAGAGGUGGAGGGACUGGCCCGAUGAAAUCUCGGCAACCGAACCAGCGCGUAUGCUGUAUCGCAGUGCCAAUUCCAGUGGAAUGGUAUAUUCCUGCAGAUAAGAG